rnacentral:tRNA from 1 species
GGCCAGGUGGCCGAGUGGUUAUGGCGCCAGAUUCAAGCGAUCAAAAGCUUCUCAGUAAUAUGAGUCUCCUGGUAACGUAAGUUGCACGGGUUCGAAUCCCGUCCUGGUCA